CACCUGCACAGGUGCUGCAUGGCUGUCGUCAGCUCGUGUCGUGAGAUGUUGGGUUAAGUCCCGCAACGAGCGCAACCCUUAUCCCUAGUUGCCAUCAGGUAAAGCUGGGAACUCUGGGGAGACUGCCGGUGAUAAACCGGAGGAAGGCGGGGAUGACGUCAAGUCCUCAUGGCCCUUACAUCCCGGGCUACACACGUGCUACAAUGGCAGGUACAGAGGGCUGCGAAGCCGCGAGGUGGAGCGAAUCCCAGAAAACCUGUCUCAGUCCGGAUUGAAGUCUGCAACUCGACUUCAUGAAGGCGGAAUCGCUAGUAACCGCGAAUCAGCAGGUCGCGGCGAAUACGUUCCCGGGCCUU
rnacentral:rRNA from 1 species